rnacentral:rRNA from 1 species
UACAGAGGUCUCAAGCGUUGUUCGGAUUCAUUGGGCGUAAAGGGUGCGUAGGCGGCGCGGUAAGUCGGGUGUGAAAUCUCGGAGCUUAACUCCGAAACUGCAUUCGAUACUGCCGUGCUUGAGGACUGGAGAGGAGACUGGAAUUUACGGUGUAGCGGUGAAAUGCGCAGAUAUCAGGAGGAACACCGAUGGCGAAGGCAGCUCACUGGGACGGUACUGACGCUGAGGCGCGAAAGCGUGGGGAGCAAACAGG